rnacentral:rRNA from 1 species
UACAGAGGGUGCGAGCGUUGUUCGGAAUUAUUGGGCGUAAAGGGCGCGUAGGCGGCGCCACAAGUCACCUGUGAAAACUCUGGGCUCAACCCAGAGCCUGCAGGCGAAACUGUGGUGCUGGAGUAUGGGAGAGGUGCGUGGAAUUCCCGGUGUAGCGGUGAAAUGCGCAGAUAUCAGGAAGAACACCCGUGGCGAAGGCGGCUCUCUGGGACGGUACUGACGCUGAGACGCGAAAGCGUGGGGAGCAAACAGG